GAUGAAGAACGCAGCGAAAUGCGAUAAGUAAUGCGAAUUGCAGAAUUCCAGUGAGUCAUCGAAUCUUUGAACGCACAUUGCGCCCUUUGGUAUUCCGAAGGGCAUGCCUGUUCGAGCGUCAUUAUCACCCCUCAAGCCCUCGGCUUGGUGUUGGACGGUUUGGUGGAGGCCCCCUCGGGGGCUCCUGCCCCUCCCAAAGACAAUGACGGCGGCCUCGUUGGACCCCCGGUACACUGAGUUCUUCACGGGACACUUAUCGGACACAUGGGUUUACGGGACACGGUCUGCCUCCCCUCAGGGAGAAUCUUUCUAAGGUGGACCUCGGAUCAGGUAGGGAUACCCGCUGAACUUAAGCAUAUCAAUAAGCGGAGGA
rnacentral:misc_RNA from 1 species